GAGUUACAGCAACAAGCGCAGCAGCAAGCGUUAGCCCAAGCCACAGCGAAUAAGGGCAGGAUGCCGCGCGCACGGCCGUACAACAAACCGCGCGGUCGCAUGACGGCGUACGCGUUCUUCGUGCAGACCUGCCGCGAGGAGCACAAGAAGAAACACCCCGACGAGAAUGUCAUCUUCGCUGCCUUCUCUAAGAAGUGCGCUGAGAGGUGGAAUACAAUGUCAGAGAAAGAAAAGCAGAGGUUCCACGAGAUGGCUGAGCAGGACAAGCAGCGGUUCGACCUGGAAAUGCAGAGCUACGUGCCGCCCAAGGACGUGAAGAUCAGGGGACGCAAGCGGCAGACGUUGAAGGAUCCCAACGCGCCAAAGCGAUCGUUAUCAGCGUUCUUCUUGUUCUGCAACGACGAACGUUCUAAAGUGAAGGCUGGCAACCCUGAGUAUACAAUGGGCGACAUCGCCAAGGAGUUGGGCCGGCGCUGGGCCGCGGCGGAUCCGGAAACUAAGGCUAAAUACGACGCACUCUCUGAACAGGACAAGGCGCGGUAUGACAGGGAGAUGACGGCGUACAAGAAAGGUCCGUUAGUAGCAGCGCCGCCCCCCGCCCCCGCGCCGCCGCACCUCGCCGUCCGCGCCGCCGACGACAUUGACGACGCGCCCGACUACGAACAUGACGAUGAAUAUAACUGAACCAUUACUGCGUACUGCACUACCACACAACUAUAGGCGUAGCUGGCAUCCUCUAAAAGCGAGGGAGGGGGGCCUGCUUCCGACACUACAAACAACUUUUGUGUCCUUUAACUUUUAGACUUCGACACUACACCGUACACUAAAUGUAUACACUCGCUCAGUGCAUACAGUCACUCGGUGAAUAGAUUCAUUCAGUGCGUACAGUCACUCGGUGAAUAGAUUCACUCAGUGCAUACACUUACUCAAUGUGUACACUCAUUCAGUGUCGUAGUCUAAACUGUAUAUUAUAAUUGCUAUUGAUAAUUUGGUGGUUUUAAAAAUUAGUAGUAUCCUCAACAUCCUAUAAUGGAUACCACAUAGUGGGUGUGCACAGGACCCCUUGCUACGCCUAUGACGCGACAGUUAGUACACUAUAGCUACAUUAACGAAAUAUUUGUGAGUGUAAUGCUGAGUACCAUUUUCGGUUUUGGUUGAGUAUGUUAUCGAAUAUGUGAAGGGAGAACAUUACUUUUGCACCAAUCAACCAAUCGGUCAACGAGUUGGCUGAAUUGUUAAUAACACACACAGAAACUCGUUUUGCUAAUAUUGCUAUAGUAUACUAAAUUUUAUGGUUUUUCAAACCGUUUGACUUGACCCCUGAAACUUGUGUAUAAUUUUAUAUACUGAACUAUUUUUAUUAAAAGACCACAGUGGCAUGGCCCACGUGUUUUCAAAAAUGAAUGUGUUAUGUAUUUUGAUAAAUUUGACGUACCGUCGGUCGGUGUUUAGUAGAGACUGAAACAAACCAUGUUAGAUAGAGUAUUCUUUUAUAAAUAUUUUUGAUUUAGGUCUGUUCUCGGUCUAAAUGCGGUUGUAGUCUACGGAAUAUACUUGAACGCGACUGUGUCGUACCAAGACAAUGUUAAUUUACAUUAUAUUGUAUGUAUUCGGUAAUUGUUUAAACUUUAUGUUGAUUUUUAACCAUAAAACAGAGGAAAUUAUAUUUUGUUGUUGUAAAUCAUUUGAUUUGAGUUUAAUUCUGUUGUGUAUCGCCACAGUGCGCUACGGCGGCAAUACAUUUUGAAAAUGUUUUUAAAUAUGGCUCUUGAUAAUGUAUGAGUUGGUUAGGUCGAGGUUAAGUGGCCUUAUAAUUUUUAAUUUAAGGUCGUGGUAACAUUGAAUCGUCAACAAUUAGGUGAUAUUGUUUAGUGAUGUAACGCAAAACUGGAGGUGUCAGGAGCGGUUGCAGCCACAUCGAGUGACAUGGAAUUUGUCUCACGGUGAAGCAAUUGUAUAAACAAUUCAGCAAUUCCAAGGAAUCACUUGUGUAUUAAAGUUAUAGUGGAAACAUUGAACGAGAACAUAUUUUAAGCUGUGUGUAACAGGGGCGAUAUUGUUUUGAAUUUGUAAAUUACUCUGUACAAAACAAUAUAGUGAAUCUUUUACACAAA
rnacentral:misc_RNA from 1 species